GCAUUUGAGAAGAGACGAAGGCAAGAGACUAUUGACGACGUUCUUACAGAAUAUGACGACUUUCUUGUAGUCGACGACCACGAUGUGUCGACAUCGGCUCGAAAUGUUUGUGCGUUUUACCUCAAAGGAAGUUAGUCUAAGAUAAAAGAUGUCAAAAUAUAUGUAGACAGCGAAACACAAACAUAUACAAUGAAGCGCAAUGUGAAAUGCCAAGCAGCCAUAACAAUCCGCUCGCAUAAACACGCAAGGUCAAGAACCACUCAAACAAAAGUGCCAAAUAUGAUAAGUAGAGGUACGGAGGUUGAGUUAAUUUCAACCACAAAUCACAGCACACAGACGACGUCAUAUGAAAUUGAACAUUUUGAGGAUAGCGCUGUAUGGUCUGAUACAGAAAGCACGUCGACGAUGAGCAAUAAAAUGUGUUAAGCGAAAAUGAAGAAUCCGACAAUGACAAUGCGACGGAAGAUGCUCAAAAUGAGAGAAAAUGCAUAGUUUUUGAUAGUUGCCUGAGACAGUGAGUCAAUGCCCAUGUUGUGGUGAAGGCUAUUCCAUUGUGACCAAAACGACUUGUAGUAUGGUUAACGUACUAGCAAAAUGUCAUUGUGGUUAUAUUCAAGACUGGAAUAGCCAACCUCUGCAUGGGCGAAUGCCUUUGGGUAACUUGGUCUUUGCUGCCAGCAUCUUCUUUAGUGGUAGUAGCACCAGCAAAGUUCUUCAAUUCCUUCGUCACUCAGGCAUACAAUUUCUGUCAGAGCGUACAUAUAGCUAUAUUCAAACAGAGUAUUUGAUACCCAGUGUUUCAAAUAUUUGACUUAUGCACCUAAAGCAUCUUCUAGAAUCAAUCAGAGAAAGGCACAUUAACCUUGGAGGACAUGGAAGAUGUGAUUCGCCUGGAUAUCGUGCCAAGUAUGGGUCAUAUAGCUGCAUGGAUUUGGAAUCUUACAACAUUUUAGACACACAACUUGUUCAGUCCAAUGAAGUGUCCAACUCUGGAGUAAUGGAACUUGAGCGAUUAAAAAGAUGUCUGGCAAAGUUUGAUGAAAGUGGGACGAAGGUGAAGUCAAUGACCACAAACAGAAAUGCUCAAAUCAAAUCCUACAUGUCAAAACAAAGACCAAAAAUCGAGCACUACUUUGAUGUAUGGCAUGUAGCAAAAGGAAUCAACAUGAAAAUUUUGGCAGCAUCAAAAAAAAAGUGGUUGCAAAUUAUUGUCAGAUUGGGCCCAAUCAAUUUCCAACCAUGUAUACUGGUGUACUGCUUCCAGCAAUGGGGAUGAAGAACUUGUCAAGGCAAAGUGGUUGUCAGUUCUCAACCAUAUAGGUGACAUCCAUGAGGGACAUAGUGAUGUAUUCCCAAAAUGUGAACAUGAUAUGUUAGAGCCUAGAAUGUGGAUAAAAAAAGGUUCAAAAGCUUAUGUUGAGCUGUCUUCGAUUGUUGAGUCCAAGUAUCUCAUGAAAGAUAUUGGAAAACUCAGUUAUCAGAAGCAGACUUCAUUCAUCGAAGGUUUCCACCAAGUGGUGAUUCUUUCUGCACCAAAACAUACCCAUUUUUUCUACAGAUCAAUGGAAGCAAGAUUGUUUAUUGCCGCUCUUCAUUUCAAUGAGAAUGGAAACAACGUUCAGAAAACGAAGAAUGGUGGGCAAACAGAAGAGGCAUCGAUUAGGAGAGUGGCUUAUUCAAAGUCAAAGGAAGGACAAGGGGUCAUCAAACCAGUGAAAGUUGAUAGCACUUAUGGAUAUGUUAAGGACUUGAUGAAAGAACUUUUGUACUACUGCAGACGCAUUAAUCCAACACUGUCCAAAGCUCUUUAUGUCGCU